rnacentral:rRNA from 1 species
GAUCAGGUAGGGAUACCCGCUGAACUUAAGCAUUAA